UUCUUUUGAAUGCAGAGGUUGCAAGAAUAAGACUGACAUUGUUCAGGUGCAUAUUCCUUAUGCCUGUAAGCUGCUCUUCCAAGAGCUUAUGGCGAUGGCCAUAGCACCAAGGAUGCUCACAAAAGAUGUAAAACCGUCCAAAGACAAAAAGAAAAAAGGAGCCUAAUCUAACCAUCAGUAACUGGAAAUAUGUUGCCCUCUUUGAUGAGUCGAGUACAUGGUUUCAUCAGGUACGAUAUUUGGACACAAGGAUUGAAGCGCAGUAAAUUAAUGUUUCUGGAAUGAAUGGACAUUUGGGCAACCUCCUCGCUGUAUUUAGAAUCCUGCAAACUUUCUACUAGAGAUACAACGUGAGAGCAAAAUCAAUGAUUGGAUAGGCAGCACUUACAUUCGUUUUAGAGAUAUCAUGUGUGGGUACAAGUGGGCGCUCAAAGCAUUGCUCUCGUCAUCCAUGCUUGGAGAAAGCUUGUUGGAUGUUGUAAUGAAAACCAACAGUAUAGGUAUUAUUUUCACCUGCAAUUUUGUUUGGAAUAGAUGCGAUAUAUGCUCUAUGCUUAUCAUGGUGCAUAUUAAGAAUUUGUACUUCUUUCUUCAAAAAAAAAAAAACCAAAAAACAAAACUCCUGUAAUGAAUUAAGGGCUUGAAAUUGUACGAUAAUAUUUUAUUAAUUAC
rnacentral:misc_RNA from 1 species